rnacentral:rRNA from 1 species
UUUCUAGUGCUCGACGUCCUGUUGGACCCACACCAAUCCAUCCCGAACUUGGUAGUGAAAUAAUAGGAGGAAAAAGUAGCCCUGCAAGGGGUGCCUUGCGGAACUCUUUUUCUAGUGCUAGGAUGUAAAAUAAAAAUGAAAAUC